UUGGAGAUCAGAGGGUCGACGCUGCUUCGUUGCCUGGACUCUGGUUUCCGCCCUGGAGCAAGCCGGGGCCUGGUCGGCAGCUGGGCCGCCAUGGAGUCCACGCUGGGCGCGGGCAUCGUGAUAGCCGAGGCGCUACAGAACCAGCUAGCCUGGCUGGAGAACGUGUGGCUCUGGAUCACCUUUCUGGGCGAUCCCAAGAUCCUCUUUCUGUUCUACUUCCCCGCGGCCUACUACGCCUCCCGCCGUGUGGGCAUCGCGGUGCUCUGGAUCAGCCUCAUCACCGAGUGGCUCAACCUCAUCUUCAAGUGGUGAGACAGAGAAGCCCUCCGGCAUCCUGGUCCCCACCCCCGAGGGCCCUGAGUCAUGUGUUUCUUUUUGGAGACAGGCCCUUUUGGUGGGUCCAUGAGUCUGGUUACUACAGCCAGGCUCCAGCCCAGGUUCACCAGUUCCCCUCUUCUUGUGAGACUGGUCCAGGCAGCCCUUCUGGACACUGCAUGAUCACAGGAGCAGCCCUCUGGCCCAUAAUGACGGCCCUGUCUUCGCAGGUGGCCACUCGGGCCCGCAGCCGCUGGGUAAGGGUGAUGCCUAGCCUGGCUUAUUGCACCUUCCUUUUGGCGGUUGGCUUGUCGCGAAUCUUCAUCUUAGCACAUUUCCCUCACCAGGUGCUGGCUGGCCUAAUAACUGGCGCUGUCCUGGGCUGGCUGAUGACUCCCCGAGUGCCUAUGGAGCGGGAGCUAAGCUUCUAUGGGUUGACUGCACUGGCCCUCAUGCUAGGCACCAGCCUCAUCUAUUGGACCCUCUUUACACUGGGCCUGGAUCUUUCUUGGCUUACAUCUGGCGGUGACAGAGUAGCCACCCAGAGGAGACAGAUGUCCUUCAACAGCAUCAAACCCGGCGGAGACUAGGACCACAUCAGGAUGAGCAGCUGCUGCUCCAGCCGCUGCUUCUCCAGCUCUUCCUGCCGCUGCUGCUCCCGCUGCCGCUGCUGCUCCAGCUCCUGCUGCCGCUUGGCUGCCAGCAUCUCCUGCUGCUGCUUGGCUGCCAGCAUCUCCUGCUGCUGCUGCAGGGGCAUGGGAACGGAGGCACAAGUGAGCCAGGCCCGGGCGGGGAUCGGAGGUCUGGGCGGCCCCCCGCACCCCCCUCGCUCACCUUGAGGUGCUUCUGCAGCUGGACCUCAUGCUGCCUUGUCAGGUGGUCAUGCUGUUUCUGGAACUCAGCGAACAGGAGCUGCUUCUGCAGCUGCUGCUGCUGCUUGAGCGCCAGGAGCUCCUGCUGCAGUUGCUGCUCCCGCAGUGUGGGGUCCACAGAGCCCACCAGAGCCCCCCGUAGCUCCACAGGGCUGGGGCUGCCUCCACCCCCACCCCCCAUGGAACUGGGCAUGGCUCUUGGCAGCACCGGCUUCACCUCCACUGUGGGCAGAAGAGACAGGAAGGAGUUAGUGGGCCCAGCCCCAGACUCCAGUCAUGCCUGAGGCCCAAAGGCUACCACGCAGGAUUCUAGGAGACCCAAAGAGAACAGAGACAGAGAGGAAGUCAAAUCCCUCUGCUCCAUGGAUGCAACAUUUUACCUUAAUUAAAUGAGGCUGAAGCCAUGAACUUCAAUAGGAAAAUACAGGCUGAGCACGGUGGCUCACACCUGUAAUCUCAGGUUAGUUUGGGAGGCUGAGGCAGGCAGAUCACCUGAGGCCAGGAGUUUGAGACCAGCCUGGUCAACAUGAUGAAACCCCCUCACUACUAAAAAUACAAAAAUUAUUUGGGCGUGAUGGUGCACACCUGUAAUCCCAGCCACUCAGAUGGCUGAGGCAUGGGAAUCUCUUGAACCCCGGGAGGCGGAGGUUGCAGUGAGCCAAGAUCAUGCAACUGCACUCUAGCCUGGGUGACAGAGCAAGAC
rnacentral:lncRNA from 1 species